rnacentral:rRNA from 1 species
AUUGAACGCUGGCGGAAUGCUUUACACAUGCAAGUCGAACGGCAGCACGGACUUCGGUCUGGUGGCGAGUGGCGAACGGGUGAGUAAUGUAUCGGAACGUGCCCAGUCGUGGGGGAUAACGUAGUGAAAAUUACGCUAAUACCGCAUACGAUCUAUGGAUGAAAGCGGGGGAUCGCAAGACCUCGCGCGAUUGGAGCGGCCGAUAUCAGAUUAGGUAGUUGGUGGGGUAAAGGCCCACCAAGCCAACGAUCUGUAGCUGGUCCGAGAGGACGACCAGCCAAACUGGAACUGAGACACGGUACAGACUCCUACGGGAGGCAGCAGUGGGGAAUUUUGGACAAUGGGCGAAAGCCUGAUCCAGCCAUUCCGCGUGCAGGAUGAAGGCCCUCGGGUUGUAAACUGCUUUUGUACAGAACGAAAAGGUUUCUACUAAUACUAGGAGCUCAUGACGGUACUGUAAGAAUAAGCACCGGCUAACUACGUGCCAGCCGCCGCCGUAA